rnacentral:rRNA from 1 species
GAUGAACGCUAGCUACAGGCUUAACACAUGCAAGUCGAGGGGUAACGAGAGGAAAGCUUGCUUUCCUUGUCGACGACCGGCGCACGGGUGAGUAACGCGUAUCCAACCUGCCCCCAACUAAGGAAUAACCUUGCGAAAGUAAGACUAAUACCUUAUAAUUUCCUCAGAUGUCAUCUGACGAGGAAUAAAGAUUUAUCGGUUGUGGAUGGGGAUGCGUCUGAUUAGCUUGUUGGCGGGGUAACGGCCCACCAAGGCAACGAUCAGUAGGGGUUCUGAGAGGAAGGUCCCCCACAUUGGGACUGAGACACGGUCCAAACUCCUACGGGAGGCAGCAGUGAGGAAUAUUGGUCAAUGGGCGAAAGCCUGAACCAGCCAAGUAGCGUGCAGGAUGACGGCCCUAUGGGUUGUAAACUGCUUUUAUACAGGAAUAAAGUUAGCCACGUGUGGUUAUUUGAAGGUACUGUAUGAAUAAGGACCGGCUAAUUCCGUGCCAGCCGCCGCGGUAA